rnacentral:rRNA from 1 species
UACGAAGGGGGCUAGCGUUGCUCGGAAUCACUGGGCGUAAAGCGCACGUAGGCGGAUCUUUAAGUCAGGGGUGAAAUCCCGAGGCUCAACCUCGGAACUGCCUUUGAUACUGGGGAUCUCGAGUCCGGGAGAGGUGAGUGGAACUGCGAGUGUAGAGGUGAAAUUCGUAGAUAUUCGCAAGAACACCAGUGGCGAAGGCGGCUCACUGGCCCGGAACUGACGCUGAGGU